rnacentral:rRNA from 1 species
CCCUUAGACGUUCUGGGCCGCACGCGCGCUACACUGACGAAGGCAACGAGCUUUCCUUUACCGAAAGGUACGGGUAAUCUUUUGAAACUUCGUCGUGCUGGGGAUAGAUCCUUGCAAUUAUUGAUCUUAAACGAGGAAUUCCUAGUAAGCGCAAGUCAUCAACUUGCGUUGAUUACGUCCCUGCCCUUUGUACACACCGCCCGUCGCUACUACCGAUUGAAUGGUUUAGUGAGGCCUUCGGAUCCGCGACUCGUUUUGUGGAGAAGUUGGACAAACUCAGUCAUUGAGAGGAAGUAAAAGUCGGAACA